rnacentral:lncRNA from 1 species
CCUGGGUCAGGAUAAGCAUGAAAAAAGGAACUUAAAUAGCUCGGUGCUGAUGAGGGGUUCACAAGAGGACAAUACUACAAUUAAAGAAUGUCAGUAGCCUGUUGGUACUACUCUGAACCUGCAUUUCCACCUUAUUACCAUUGGAAACUUAUGCUAUCCUUCAAAUCCAUUCAUAAGAUUAUUCGUAUAACAUUCCUUAUGGCGAUUUUAUUUGGUUUUUGUGGUGCUUUACGAAAGCCUACAUUUGGAUUGACCUCAUUAUUCCAUAUUUUUAUGUGCUUGAGAAUAUUAAUUCAUUUGUGAAACAAGACAUUUUUCUCAUGGGAAGGCUUGGUACAUAACGUACUAUACAUGCAUCCUACAUUUAUAAAAAAAUUCCAUGGUAUGAAACAACCUUUACAUUUAUAGUGUAUAUUCAGUGACAACUGGGAUUAUGUCAACCUUUUCAUGGUACAAUCGGAUUGCAUCGUGUUGGCACCGCAGUUAAGAAAUGGUUGUGGGGCAGGUUAGCUUUUGUUUACUUUUUGUAGUUUUCUACCUAAUUUUCUUAACUUGUGAUGUGCUUUGCCCCGAGCACGUGCAGAGUAUAUGGUGCAUAUGUUCCGUGGAUACUCCCUAUGAAGAAGAUAAAGAUCGACUAUUAUCAGAGGUGUCUGAUGCUUCUCUGUACCGUUUAAUUUGCAGUGUUGGUGGACAAAUGAGCUUACUUGAAGAAGGGGGGAUCUGAACGUGAUGAAAAGGUUAUUUUGUUCCAUUUUCCUUAUAAGCAUCCAUAUCUUUUGCUCCCUUCGUUGUACCUUCAACAACCAUGUUCAUUGUGUCGGGUUUGUAUCAUUUCCACCUAUCUUCUCACUCUUAAACCAUUUGGCUGGGUCGAUGUUUUAUUAAUAGAUACAAUUGAACUUGCAUCGUAUCUCAAACUAUGUCCCUAAUACGCCAGCCCACCCGUGCGUAUAUUAAGUGAAAACUGGGAUUAUGUCAAGUUUUCAAUGGUAUGAUCGGCUUGUAUCUUGCUGUCAUCGAAGUUAAGACAUGGCUCCGGGGCAGGUUAGCUUUUGUCUAUUCUCUGUAAUUUCUACCUGUUUUUCCUACCCCGUGUAUAUGCUAGAGUGCAGAGUAUGCUUGCUUAUCCGUUCGGUGGAUACUUUAUAUGCAGAAGAUAAAGAUUGACUAUCAUCUUCACUUAGUUGUAGAUACUAAAUAGUUGGUAUAAAAUUAUGAUAAUUUAAAAGAAGUAUUAUGGUGUGGUGCAGUAAUAAUUUUAAAUUUUAAAACUCGACACCUUGCAUCAUACUUUUGUUGCAAAUGGGGGCAGUGUGUUCAAGUUGCUCUGGAACAAUUUGAAGGGUUUCGUUGACACAAAAUCUUCAGCCAAGAUUCACUGCAUAGAAGUUUAAAUUGUAGUUGUUUCAGGUGCUUUGCCACAUUCAGUAUGCUUUGUUCUGUAUGCAUCAUUUAUUUGAUCCUAAUCUAUUUCAAAUGGAAAUGUUUCAUUGCUAAUUAAGGUUCAUUUAUUUGAUCCUAAUCUAUUUCCAUCCAGUACAUUUAUGCCUCAGGAUGGAAAUGUUCCUUGGCACCAUGACAAACAUUGGUGGAGUAACAAUCUGUUUUGUUGCUGUCGCUUAUGUAUUUUCGCUGCCACAAAGAUUACUUGGACACAGAGUCACAGUGUGUUAGAAAAUGAUUACAUUUUCCUUUUGUAACCUGAUGGUGUUAGACUGUUAGUAACAUCUCAGCAGUAGGGCGGGAUUAGCUAGCCCUUUCUUGGAUAUGUUUCCCAUAUAGUGUGUGGGGUCGACUAUUCAUACUUGG